rnacentral:rRNA from 1 species
UUGAAUGGUCAGUGAUGGUCACAUCCUUCCAUUGGGAUUCUCUAUACUGAAGCCUUUGCAGCCCCGCAAGGGGUCUUCCUUUCGACGAUAAACAAAGGAUUCAUGCAAGUUGGAAUUCUCCUCGCCGAGUUUUCUAGCAACACAAUCGAAUUGACGGGGAGACCCUAAAACCUACAUCACUACCCACUGAGGGAAACUUCAGUGGUAUCCCGUGCGAAAGACACGGGGGAGAGUAACAGAAUGUGGGGUACCUCUGAUCCUUCGGGGUUGGUAAAGAUGGGCAAUCCGCAGCGAAGGUUCUAAGUGCUUCUCGAAGCAUAUGAGCAACGUUCACAGACUAAGUGGUUGUGGGUGGAAGCCUUGGUGGCUUCCGCUUAAGAUAUAGUCGGGCUCUGUGGGGAAACCCCAGAGAUGAAUCAAACCGUUCCGUAGGUGAACCUGCGGAAGGAUCAUU